rnacentral:rRNA from 1 species
CCUACGGGAGGCAGCAGUGGGGAAUAUUGGACAAUGGGGGCAACCCUGAUCCAGCCAUGCCGCGUGUGUGAAGAAGGCCCUCGGGUUGUAAAGCACUUUCAGUGAGGAAGAACGCCUGGUGGUUAAUACCCAUCAGGUAAGACAUCACUCACAGAAGAAGCACCGGCUAACUCCGUGCCAGCAGCCGCGGUAAUACGGAGGGUGCGAGCGUUAAUCGGAAUUACUGGGCGUAAAGCGCGCGUAGGUGGCUUGAUAAGCCGGUUGUGAAAGCCCCGGGCUCAACCUGGGAACGGCAUCCGGAACUGUCAAGCUAGAGUGCAGGAGAGGAAGGUAGAAUUCCCGGUGUAGCGGUGAAAUGCGUAGAGAUCGGGAGGAAUACCAGUGGCGAAGGCGGCCUUCUGGACUGACACUGACACUGAGGUGCGAAAGCGUGGGUAGCAAACAGGAUUAGAUACCCCAGUAGUC